rnacentral:rRNA from 1 species
AUGGAAGACCGGCAAGCCACCGGCGGCGCCACGACCAAGGUCCGCGUGAACGGCACGCCGGCCGAAGCGACGCUCUCCACCACCACAGGCGGCUGCCCCGAGCUCCGGUGGCACUGCGCCGGAGCCACGGCGGAGAGGAGCCUCUCGCUGGAGGCCGACGUGCUCGGAGCCGUGGCGAGCGGCAAGGAGGUCGUCGUCAGGGCCUUCGUGGCGGACGACGCGGCGAGACCUCCGCCGUGCGCCAAGGCUGGAGGGAAGAGGCGCAGGAGGGAGUACGUGUUCGAGAUGGCCGACGGCGAGGGCGCGGCCGCGGCCUGGGGCGGGACGCUACGGGGCUGCUUGGACUCGUUCGGGCGGCCCAAGAGAUUGUUCGUCCUCAUCAACCCCUACGGCGGCAAAAGACGGGCAAGCAAGAUCUACGAGGCAGAAAUCAAGCCCCUGCUCGAAGCCGCCGGCGUCGAAGUCACAAUGCAAGAGACCCGGUACCGGGGGCAUGCCCGGGAGGUGGCGUCCUCUCUGGACCUUGCGAGAUACGACGGGAUCGUCUGCGUCAGCGGCGAUGGCGUCCUCGUGGAGCUUGUGAAUGGGAUUCUGCAAAGAUCAGACUGGGAGGAAGCAAUAAAAAUGCCAAUUGGGGUAGUUCCAGCUGGCACAGGAAACGGCAUGGCCAAAUCGCUUCUGCAUGCUGCCAGCGAGACGUGCUCAGUUUCAGACGCCGUAUUUGCCAUUAUCAGAGGUCACAAGCAGGCCUUGGAUGUUUGCACUAUAGCGCAAGGGGAGAAGAUUGUUUUCAGCGUGCUGUCAACCACCUGGGGUUUGGUGGCGGAUGUUGACAUCGAGUCCGAGAAAUACAGGUGGAUGGGGAGCGCGCGGUUCGACUUUUAUGCUCUGGUUCGCAUAAUGAACUUGCGCCGAUACCGCGGAAGUGUCCACUUCGUGCCUGCCCCGGGCUACGAGGCAUACGGAGAUCCUGUCAAGCAAUCCGAGACUCCCAUCGUGGAGCAAAACGGCGAGUCUCGGGUGUGCUCUUAUCAAGGUCCUAGGGCCGAGUUUCAAGGUUCAGACUGGAGAUCCAUCGAUGGCCCGUUUGUGGGUGUGUGCGUCUACAACGUGCCAUGGGCUGCCGAGAACGCCAUGGCAGCUCCUGAAGCCAAGUUCUCAGAUGGCUACAUGGACGCGGUGAUACUGAAAGACUGUCCGAAGGCUGAUCUUUUGGCUCUGCUGCUGAAGAUGAGCGAUGGGAGCUACGUGAAAUCGCCACAUGUUACGUACCUCAAGGUCGGCCAUUUUUUCCCUGUCAACCUGAUAAUCAACUUACAGCAGUUCAAACACCGUGCCAACCUUCUUCCAUACAGUGGUUCAUCAGUAGAAUUUUUUCUUACUAGUUUGACUUUGCAGGUGAAAUCCUUUCGGUUAUCGCCGGGGCAGCUCGUGGAGGAUCCGAAAAGGGGCGGCAUCGUAGACGUGGACGGCGAGGUGGUUGCCAGAGGAGAAGGAACGUACGGCAUGAACCAGGAUCAAUAUUUGAUGGCCUAUGGCCCUUCUGUUCAGCUGACCGUGCACCAGGGCUUGGCCACUGUAUAUCGUCCCAAAUGA